rnacentral:rRNA from 1 species
GAUGAACGCUGGCGGCGUGCUUAAUACAUGCAAGUCGAACGGAGACAGUAGCAAUAUUGUCUUAGUGGCGAACGGGUGAGUAACGCGUUGGUGACCUGCCCCGAAGAGGGGGAUAACAGUCCGAAAGGAUUGCUAAUACCCCAUGUGGUCGUUUGGAUUAGAUGCCUUAUGACUAAACGGAUUUAUUCGCUUCGGGAGGGGCCUGCGUCCCAUCAGCUAGUUGGUAAGGUAAUGGCUUACCAAGGCGAUGACGGGUAGGGGACCUGAGAGGGUGGCCCCCCACAAUGGAACUGAAACACGGUCCAUACACCUACGGGUGGCAGCAGUAGGGAAUAUUGGUAAUCUGGGAAACCGGGAACCAGCAACGCCGCGUGCGCGAUGAAGGCCUUCGGGUUGUAAAGCGCUUUUUGAGGGGAUGAGGAAGGACAGUACCCUCAGAAUAAGCCUCGGCUAACUACGUG